rnacentral:rRNA from 1 species
UACCAGCACCCCGAGUGGUCGGGACGUUUAUUGGGCCUAAAGCAUCCGUAGCCGGUUCUACAAGUCUUCCGUUAAAUCCACCUGCUUAACAGAUGGGCUGCGGAAGAUACUAUAGAGCUAGGAGGCGGGAGAGGCAAGCGGUACUCGAUGGGUAGGGGUAAAAUCCGUUGAUCCAUUGAAGACCACCAGUGGCGAAGGCGGCUUGCCAGAACGCGCUCGACGGUGAGGGAUGAAAGCUGGGG